GACGGGUGAGUAAUGCCUAGGAAUCUGCCUGGUAUUGGGGGAUAACGUCCGGAAACGGACGCUAAUACCGCAUACUUCCUACGGGAGAAAGCAGGGGACCUUCGGGCCUUGCGCUAUCACAUGAGCCUAGGUCGGAUUAUCUAGUUGGUGGGGUAAUGGCUCACCAAGGCGACGAUCCGUAACUGGUCUGAGAGGAUGAUCAGUCACACUGGAACUGAGACACGGUCCAGACUCCUACCGGAGGCAGCAGUGGGGAAUAUUGGACAAUGGGCGAAAGCCUGAUCCAUCCAUGCCGCGUGUGUGAAGAAGGUCUUCGGAUUGUAAAGCACUUUAAGUUGGGAGGAAGGGCAGUAAAUUAAUACUUUGCUGUUUUGACGUUACCGACAGAAUAAAACCGGCUAACUCUGUGCCAGCAGCCGCGGUAAUACAGAGGGUGCAAGCGUUAAUCGGAAUUUACUGGGCGUAAAGCGCGCGUAUGUGGUCUCGUUAUUUGGAUGUGAAAUCACCCGGGCUCAACCCUGGGAACUGCUUUCAAUAACUGACGAGCUAUAUUAUGGUAGAGGGUGGUGGAAUUUUCCUGUGU
rnacentral:rRNA from 1 species